AGCGAACGCUGGCGGCAGGCCUAACACAUGCAAGUCGAACGAACCCUUCGGGGUUAGUGGCGGACGGGUGAGUAACACGUGGGAACGUGCCUUUAGGUUCGGAAUAACUCAGGGAAACUUGUGCUAAUACCGAAUGUGCCCUUCGGGGGAAAGAUUUAUUGCCUUUAGAGCGGCCCGCGUCUGAUUAGCUAGUUGGUGGGGUAAUGGCUCACCAAGGCUACGAUCAGUAGCUGAUCUGAGAGGAUGACCAGCCACAUUGGGACUGAGACACGGCCCAAACUCCUACGGGAGGCAGCAGUGGGGAAUCUUGCGCAAUGGGCGAAAGCCUGACGCAGCCAUGCCGCGUGGAUGAUGAAGGUCUUAGGAUUGUAAAAUCCUUUCACCGGUGAAGAUAAUGACUGUAGCCGGAGAAGAAGCCCCGGCUAACUUCGUGCCAGCCGCCGCGGUAAAAC
rnacentral:rRNA from 1 species